GAGGACAACGCACAUCAGCCAACAUUAGCUCAGAAUGUAGUCCAGAAGAAGAACCGGAAGCAGAUCCAGCAAGAGGACGGUUUUUAGAAGGAAUGGAAAUGGGUAUCCCACCGUCAAUGUCUUUAAAAGGAGGAGGUACCAUAACCUGCGUUUUUUCAAAGGUGAUUACUGCAUAAGGUUGUGCAUUAACACUUUUGACGUUCAAAUCUCUACCUUGAUGUAAUCGAACAUAAAGCCGUCCAAAAGCAUGCUGACCAUUUUUAUCUUUUGGCACAACGGUAUCAUGCCUAAUGUAACACGAAGAUGGAGGUGUACGACUCUGUAGUAGUUUGGGUUUUUCUGAAUAUGUACCCAUUGGUGUAAUUCCAUUGCUUUCGGAACUAUUAGAACCAGAUUCUUUAUCUUCCUUUAAGGACUAUGAUAGGUUAGCCAAGUGAACAACAAUUUAUGGAGACAGUGAUUUUUGAAAAACACAAUAAAGAAAGCUAUGGGGAAGAUUGUCUUUCAAGCAAAAAAUCAAUUAUAACAUACCUGUUCUUUGUGAAGCUGAGCUGUAAUCUCAUUGUAACGCAUCUUCAUCCGAUCCGACAUGAAAACGGGAUCAUAGCCAUUAGACGAAGCACCCUCUUUCCCUUCGUAAUCGUUUACUUUCGUAGAAUGGUCAUUGGAAAGAACCGGUUGCGUUGAAUGCGAUUGUAUUGUGGAUGGCGAUGCUUGAUUUGUAUU